rnacentral:rRNA from 1 species
AUUGAACGCUGGCGGCAGGCCUAACACAUGCAAGUCGAACGAGUGGCGGACGGGUGAGUAAUGUCUGGGAAACUGCCUGAUGGAGGGGGAUAACUACUGGAAACGGUAGCUAAUACCGCAUACCAUCGGAUGUGCCCAGAUGUGAUUAGCUAGUAGGUGGGGUAAUGGCUCACCUAGGCGACGAUCCCUAGCCGGUCUGAGAGGAUGAUCAGUCACACUGGAACUGAGACACGGUCCAGACUCCUACGGGAGGCCGCAGUGGGGAAUAUUGGACAAUGGGCGAAAGCCUGAUCCAGCCAUGCCGCGGGUGUGAAGAAGGUCUGCGGAUUGUAAAGCACUUUAAGUUGGGAGGCGUUACCAACAGAAUAAGCACCGGCUAACUUCGUGCCAGCAGCCGAGGUAAUUC